AUUGAACGCUGGCGGAAUGCUUUACACAUGCAAGUCGAACGGCAGCACGGGUGCUUGCACCUGGUGGCGAGUGGCGAACGGGUGAGUAAUACAUCGGAACGUACCAGUUGUGGGGGAUAACUAACCGAAAGGUUAGCUAUACCGCAUACGACCUGAGGGUGAAAGCGGGGGACCGUAAGGCCUCGCGCAAUUGGAGCGGCCGAUGUCUGAUUAGCUAGUUGGUAGGGUAAAGGCCUACCAAGGCGACGAUCAGUAGCUGGUCUGAGAGGAUGAUCAGCCACACUGGAACUGAGACACGGUCCAGACUCCUACGGGAGGCAGCAGUGGGGAAUUUUGGACAAUGGGCGAAAGCCUGAUCCAGCCAUCCGCGUGAGUGAAGAAGGCCUUCGGGUUGUAAAGCUCUUUCGGCAGGGAAGAAACGGCCUAGGUUAAUACCUUGGGCUAAUGACGGUACCUGAAGAAGAAGCACCGGCUAACUACGUGCCAGCCGCCGCGGUAA
rnacentral:rRNA from 1 species